CCAAAACCCAAACCAGAACCAGCCUGUGAGAACUGAUGUGCAGGAGGCAAAAGCACCAGUUUUUGAAGAUACAGAAAAAUCCACCCUAAAAUUCACAUGGAAUUUCAGGGACUGAAUAAUAGCCAAGACAAGCUUGGAAGAAGCACCAAGCCAAAGUACUUCCUGCCUCCUGAUUCCAAACCUCUGCAAGGCUGCAGCCGCCAGCGGGGGCUCUCCUGACCAGAGGGCCAACGCAACAGCACAGGGCCCAGAUAAACAUGCCCGCGUGUGGCCGAGUGACUUCUGACAAGGGUGCCAAGAUCAUCUUUGUUGAGAUGGCAUCUUCAGCAAAGUGCUGGGAAAUCUGGAGGUCCACAGCAGAAGAAUGAAGUUGGACCCUGACCUUCACCAUGUUUUAAAAUGUAUUCACAGUAGAUUACAGACCCAAACAGGACCCAAACUAUAACACUCUUAGAAGAAACAGGACAAAGCUUCGUGACAUUGGAUUUGGUCAUGAUUACUUGAUAUGACACCAAAGGUAUCAGUGACAACAUGAAAAACAGGUGAAUUGAGCAGAAUUGAAAUUUGGAACUUCUAUGCAUUGAAGGACACGACCAACAGAGAGAAAAGGCCACUCACAGAACAGGGAGAGUACCUGUCAAUCACGUGUCGAUGAGAGUGACAGCCAGAAUACACAGAGAACUCCUAAAAUUCAACAACAAUUAAAAAAUGCAAAAUUGGGCAAAGAACUUGAAUAGACAGGCAUUUCUCCAAAGAAGACAUAGGAACAGCCAAUAAGCACAUGAAAGUAUGUUCAACAUCACAAACCAGGGAAAUGCAAAUCAAAACCACCCAGAGAUACCACCUCACCCCAUUAGGGUGGCUGUGAUCAAAAAAAUAACAGGUGUUGGCAAGUGGAGCCCUUGAGCCCUGUUGGGGGGAACUCGGGACGGUGCAGCCACUAUGGGAGAGAAUAUGGCAGGUCCUCAGCUAGCUAGACGUAGAGCUACUGUGUUUCCCGGCAGUCCCACUGUUGGUCUACACCUGAGAGAAUCGAAAGAGACAUUCAUGCGCCCACCUUUGCAGCAGUAUUAGUUAUAGUAACUGAGAGUUGGAAGCCACCCAGUGUCCAUGGACGGAUGAUGCCUGAGCAUGAUGUGGCCAACCUUUCCAGGUGACACUCUGCAGCCUUAAAAAGCCUGCUUCAGCCUGGCCAGAUCUCGAGGGGCGUGCGCUAAGUGACCUAAGCAGUCAUCAAAGGACGAACAUGGUGCAAAUCCACUUAAACAAGAUAGGUGGAGGAGAGGGGAGUAGGAUGGCAGGUGCCAGAGGCUGGGAAUGGGAGGGCCGUCAGCGUAUAAUGGGGAAAGAGCUUUAGUCUGGGAAGUUGAGAAAGUUCUGGAGAUGGAUGGUGGUGACAGGGGCAUGCAUUGUGAGUGUGCUUAACGCCCCUGACCCACGCAUGACAAAGUAGUGAAGAUGGCAGUUGCUGUGGCGCAAGCCCUCAGGAGGCUGGGGCAGGAGGCCAGCCUGAGCAACUCAGCAAGACCCUGACUCAAAAAUAAAGGGCUAGGAUGUGACUCGGCAGAGAAGCGCCCCUAGUUCAAUCUCUAGAACACACACACACACACACAGAUUUGGAUGGUAGAUUUAUGUUGCACAUUAUUUUAUCACAAUAAUAAAAAGAAGCUAAUGACAAUAUAUGAG
rnacentral:lncRNA from 1 species